AGUGAACGCUGGCGGUAGGCCUAACACAUGCAAGUCGAACGGCAGCACAGUAAGAGCUUGCUCUUACGGGUGGCGAGUGGCGGACGGGUGAGGAAUACAGCGGAAUCUACUUUUUCGUGGGGGAUAACGUAGGGAAACUUACGCUAAUACCGCAUACGACCUACGGGUGAAAGCAGGGGAUCUUCGGACCUUGCGCGAUUGAAUGAGCCGAUGUCGGAUUAGCUAGUUGGCGGGGUAAAGGCCCACCAAGGCGACGAUCCGUAGCUGGUCUGAGAGGAUGAUCAGCCACACUGGAACUGAGACACGCUCCAGACUCCUACGGGAGGCAGCAGUGGGGAAUAUUGGACAAUGGGCGCAAGCCUGAUCCAGCCAUACCGCGUGGGUGAAGAAGGCCUUCGGGUUGUAAAGCCCUUUUGUUGGGAAAGAAAAGCAGCAGGUUAAUACCCCGCUGUUCUGACGGUACCCAAAGAAUAAGCACCGGCUAACUUCGUG
rnacentral:rRNA from 1 species